AGUCAAGUAAUUAAGUGCAUGUGGUGGAUGCCUUGGCAGUCAGAGGCGAUGAAAGACGUGAUAGCCUGCGAAAAGCUCCGGGGAGGCGGCAAAUAUCCUUUGAUCCGGAGAUGUCUGAAUGGGGGGAACCCACCUACUUUAAGGUAGGUAUUGCAACAUGAAUACAUAGUGUUGCAAGGCGAACGAGGGGAAGUGAAACAUCUCAGUACCCUUAGGAAAAGAAAUCAAUUGAGAUUCCCUCAGUAGCGGCGAGCGAACGGGGAUCAGCCCAUUAAGUUAUGUGUGUUUUAGUGGAACGCUCUGGGAAGUGCGAACGUAGAGGGUGAUAUUCCCGUACACGAAAGGGCACACAUAAUGAUGACGAGUAGGGCGAGGCACGUGAAACCUUGUCUGAAUAUGGGGGGACCAUCCUCCAAGGCUAAAUACUCCUGACUGACCGAUAGUGAACCAGUACCGUGAGGGAAAGGCGAAAAGAACCCCUGUGAGGGGAGUGAAAUAGAUCCUGAAACCGCAUGCAUACAAGCAGUGGGAGCACCUUCGUGGUGUGACUGCGUACCUUUUGUAUAAUGGGUCAGCGACUUAUAUUCAGUAGCGAGGUUAACCGUAUAGGGGAGCCGUAGAGAAAUCGAGUCUUAAUAGGGCGUUUAGUUGCUGGGUAUAGACCCGAAACCAGGCGAUCUAUCCAUGAGCAGGUUGAAGGUUGGGUAACACUAACUGGAGGACCGAACCCACUGUCGUUGAAAAGCCAGGGGAUGACUUGUGGAUAGGGGUGAAAGGCUAAUCAAGCCUGGUGAUAGCUGGUUCUCCCCGAAAGCUAUUUAGGUAGCGCCUCGGACGAAUACCAUAGGGGGUAGAGCACUGUUUCGGCUAGGGGUCAUCCCGACUUACCAAACCGAUGCAAACUCCGAAUACCUAUGAGUACUAUCCGGGAGACAGACUGCGGGUGCUAACGUCCGUAGUCAAGAGGAAAACAAUCCAGACCGCCAGCUAAGGCCCCAAAAUCAUAGUUAAGUGGGAAACGAUGUGGGAAGGCAUAGACAGCUAGGAGGUUGGCUUAGAAGCAGCCACCCUUUAAAGAAAGCGUAAUAGCUCACUAGUCGAGUCGGCCUGCGCGGAAGAUGUAACGGGGCUAAAACUAUGUGCCGAAGCUGCGGAUGUAUACUUUGUAUACGUGGUAGGGGAGCGUUCUGUAAGCCGAUGAAGGUGUGUUGAGAAGCAUGCUGGAGGUAUCAGAAGUGCGAAUGCUGACGUGAGUAACGACAAAACGGGUGAAAAACCCGUUCGCCGAAAGACCAAGGGUUCCAGUCCAACGUUAAUCGGGGCUGGGUGAGUCGACCCCUAAGGCGAGGCCGAAAGGCGUAGUCGAUGGGAAAAUGGUUAAUAUUCCAUUACUUCUGUGUAAUGCGAUGAGAGGACGGAGAAGGCUAAAUCAGCCUGGCGUUGGUUGUCCAGGUGAAAGGAUGUAGGCAUGUAUCUUAGGCAAAUCCGGGGUACUCUAUGCUGAGAUCUGAUAGCAAGCUGUACUUGUACAGCGAAGUGGUUGAUGCCAUGCUUCCAGGAAAAGUCUCUAAGCUUCAGUUACACAGGAAUCGUACCCGAAACCGACACAGGUGGUCAGGUCGAGUAGACCAAGGCGCUUGAGAGAACUCUGCUGAAGGAACUAGGCAAAAUGGUACCGUAACUUCGGGAGAAGGUACGCUGUUGUUGGUGAUGGAACUCGCUUCCUGAGCUGACGACAGCCGCAGAAACCAGGCCGCUGCAACUGUUUAUUAAAAACAUAGCACUCUGCAAACACGAAAGUGGACGUAUAGGGUGUGAUGCCUGCCCGGUGCUGGAAGGUUAAUUGAUGGGGUUAGCGUAAGCGAAGCUCUUGAUCGAAGCCCCAGUAAACGGCGGCCGUAACUAUAACGGUCCUAAGGUAGCGAAAUUCCUUGUCGGGUAAGUUCCGACCUGCACGAAUGGCAUAAUGAUGGCGGCGCUGUCUCCAGCAGAGGCUCAGUGAAAUCGAAAUCGCUGUGAAGAUGCAGUGUACCCGCGGCUAGACGGAAAGACCCCGUGAACCUUUACUGCAGCUUGACACUGAACUUUGACCUUACUUGUGUAGGAUAGGUGGGAGGCUUUGAAGCUGGAACGCUAGUUCCAGUGGAGCCGUCCUUGAAAUACCACCCUGGUAAUGUUGAGGUUCUAACUCUGUCCCGUGAUCCGGGACGAGGACCGUGUCUGGUGGGUAGUUUGACUGGGGCGGUCUCCUCCUAAAGAGUAACGGAGGAGUACGAAGGUGCGCUCAGCGUGGUCGGAAAUCACGCGUAGAGUAUAAAGGCAAAAGCGCGCUUAACUGCGAGACCCACAAGUCGAGCAGGUACGAAAGUAGGUCUUAGUGAUCCGGUGGUUCUGUAUGGAAGGGCCAUCGCUCAACGGAUAAAAGGUACUCUGGGGAUAACAGGCUGAUACCGCCCAAGAGUUCAUAUCGACGGCGGUGUUUGGCACCUCGAUGUCGGCUCAUCUCAUCCUGGGGCUGAAGCAGGUCCCAAGGGUAUGGCUGUUCGCCAUUUAAAGAGGUACGCGAGCUGGGUUUAGAACGUCGUGAGACAGUUCGGUCCCUAUCUACCGUGGGCGCUGGAAAUUUGAGAGGAUCUGCUCCUAGUACGAGAGGACCAGAGUGGACGAACCUCUGGUGUACCGGUUGUGACGCCAGUCGCAUCGCCGGGUAGCUAUGUUCGGAAGGGAUAACCGCUGAAAGCAUCUAAGCGGGAAGCCUACCUCAAGAUAAGAUUUCCCUAGGACUUUAUGUCCUCUAAAGAGCCGUUCGAGACUAGGACGUUGAUAGGUUGGAUGUGGAAGCAUAGUGAUAUGUGAAGCUGACCAAUACUAAUUGCUCGUGAGGCUUGACUAU
rnacentral:rRNA from 1 species